GUGCUCACUUUAGCAACACAUAUACUAAAAUUGGAAUGAUACAGAUCAAAUUAACAUGACACCAGCACAAGAAUGACACUCUGACUUGGCUCUAAUUGGUAAACUUCU